rnacentral:rRNA from 1 species
AAGAGACAGCAGUCGCCGCGGGAAUACGAAGGGUGCAAGCGUUACUCGGAAUUACUGGGCGUAAAGCGUGCGUAGGUGGUGGUUUAAGUCCGUUGUGAAAGCCCUGGGCUCAACCUGGGAAUUGCAGUGGAUACUGGGUCACUAGAGUGUGGUAGAGGAUAGUGGAAUUUCCGGUGUAGCAGUGAAAUGCGUAGAGAUCGGAAGGAACAUCUGUGGCGAAGGCGACUAUCUGGGCCAACACUGACACCGAGGCACGAAAGCGUGGGGAGCAAACAGGAUUAGAUACCCCCGUAGUCCCUGUCUCUUAUAC